rnacentral:lncRNA from 1 species
GAGCAGUUAAAAGAUAGAACGGUCUAGUCAAGCGCCAUGUCUCUUAUUCUUGAUCAGCUAUAGCUCUGGAGUUGCAGAUUUUCAAAUAAAACUCAGAGAUUCCUUGUAUGACUCUCUCAUAUUUCCCUUUUGUGGUAUUUCUGGAUCCUUACCAAGGUAAUGAUGGUAUAUGCCUUCUCUCAAGAUAUGUGGUAUUUGUGGUAUAAGGCAUAGUGAUAUUGCCUUCUCUCUCAUCCUACUCUAAUAAGGCUUUGAUAUCUGGAGCUCAUAGGUGGGAGAUAAAGUAUACAUACUUACAAGACAUUUAUUGCAUAGUCAAACCAUGGAUCCAGAGAAACAAGUCAUAAGUCAAAUCAAGAUGUGCAUGUGUGGCGAAUGAAUGGUGUAUGGUGAUGAUGGUGAUAAUAAUGGUGAAAGUCUAAUUCUACUUGUGCUCUUUUGAGGGGAUACAUACCUUUCUUGCUCUUUUGAAACUUUUUGAGGAGAAUGAGAUGCUCUAUAUUUUAUUUUUCUUUCCUCUUAGGUGGGUAUCUUGUACCGCUAAUUCUACUGUCGGACACUUGUCCAUUUUUACCUCUCGUCUCACUUUUUCUUUUCUUUCGAGGUUCUGGGCACUUGUCCCUUUUUAUUUCCUCGUAUUCUUUCUCUCUUUUUUUAGAGCAAUCAUCUUCUGAAAUAAUAUAGGAAGUGGUAGUAACCAAGAUAACUUGAGCAUUUAUUUCACAGGGAAAAACAGAAAUAGGAGAAUAUUUUUGGCUAUUCUCUCCCGGAUUAGGAGUAGAAUACUUUUGGGUGGCUCUAGAGAUGGAAAUGAGUGGAUAUAUGUGGAUGCGUACUUCCGAAGUAGAAGCAGCAUGUGUGAGUGAACGUGCAAGUGAAUCUUGAUUUUAACCGCAUGACAAGCUCCUAAUGGUCUACACAGCUUGACCACACUCAAUGCUCAUAAGCAGUAAAAAGUAAAUCUGUGGCUCAAAGUCUAGCAAGCAUGUAUAUAUGGCUGUGAUAGGAAUUUAAACUCUCAUCAUAUAGGAACUCAUCAUGUGUUAUUUUAAAGAUUUUCAAAGAUAAAAUUCUCCAGAAUUCUAGCAUCUCUAGGAACAGAUAAACAGCAGCUCAACCUUCCCAUAUCAUAUCUGUUAACAACUUCGACUUUAGAUCAAGUUCUCUUCCUACAUGUUCAGGUUUAGAGCAAGCUUUAAAUUAUAACAGUUAUGUCUAAACUCGAGAGAGAACUUCAAAUUUGAAAAUUAGGCAGAGCAACUAUUCAUCAUAUCCAUGCUAGAGUUUUAUUAAGAUUCAGUUUAGCAUAGCCACUUUAUUUAUUUAUUAAGCACACUAAGCAAAAGAUAUAUAUAUAUAUAAGCACAAAAUCUUUAUUUGGUUUUUCAUGGUUAUGUUUAUUUUUAUUUUAAUAUAGUAUAAGUAUAUAGAUAGAAAUACUUAGCGGGAUAAAUGGGGUGCUCUCUCCCAAGCUGGAUUUUGACGUAAUUUCUUUUGAUGUAGCUAGCAGGUGGUGGAGGUGUAUUUGAAAGUCGGCAGCACCCUGACAGCGAUUAGAAUGUCCUCCGUCUGCUAGUCUUCUUGAUCCUUGAAUUCUGUGGAGCUCAAAUAGACAACAAAGCUUUGUGGAACUGAUUAAGUGUUAGCAUGAAUAUCUAGCCUUUAUCAUGUUGAGCCUCCUCAAUAAAUGUUACUCUCUUUGGUAGGAUCAUAAUUUUAUUUUUGUAUUUUCAUUUUUAUAGAGCAGAAGAAUAUUUUUAUUUUAUUAUUAUUAUUUUUUUAUGCCACCACAGUGAAUGUACUUAUGAGUUUUAUGCCACUUGUAUACUCACAUGGGGCUUACUGGUUUUAAUAUUUUUAUUUUUCUUUUCAAGAUGAUACGAACUUGGUUAACUGAACUAGCUUAUUUUUAAGACAAAGUAAAUGAUUUGAAAGGAAAGGGAUAACUACCAAGUUUACCUCUUGGCAAGGCGUUUGGUGUUUUUAAGUCCUCCGAACAGGACUCUCCGUUUUCUCAGUCGUCCAGGGAUUCGCUGGAUGGCGUAGUCGGUGGUUCCGGCGGCGCCUCCUCUUCGUGUAUAACUAUCUUCUCUUUCCACACCUGACUCGGUGCUAAGGUCUCCUCAGGACAGUUCUGUUCAAGCUUUAUGUCAUCAGACCUGUAACACCCUAGGUGUUAAGCAUGCACUUAGUCUCAUAAAACAUUCAUAAGCAUUCUCAUUAAGCAUGGCAUAAGCAUCACAUCCCAUGAGCAUAAUAAUAAUUCAAGUGUGAUUUUAUGUGUGCUUUAUAUAGGUGAAUUAAAUAUGAUUAAAAAUAUUAAGCUUGCUUCUAAAAUUGUGAAAUAUUCAAAUUAGGUUGAAUUGUGUGUUAAAAGGUUUAAGAGUAAUUUUGUGAAAUUUUUUGGAGCCAUAAGAUU